AAAUAUGAAAUGAUUUAUCAUACCUAGUAUCGACCUAGCUUUAGGCUACACUGCCCAUAUUUU
rnacentral:tRNA from 1 species